GAACCGUUCAGGGGUAAACCUGAGAAACCCAAAAGAUCGAAUGGGGAGAUUCAUCGUCGACGAUGCUGGCUCCCGUUGGUGCGCGAUGCCCCGAAUGGACCCUCGCGGGCUCCAUGGCGAGGGCACGCCACCUUCGGCUCGAACGUUCCGGUGUCGUAGUCGUGCACUUCUCCCCUAGUAGAACGUCGCGACCCGUUGUGUGUCGGUCUACGGCCCGAGAGGGCGCCUGUCGCGUCGCUUCGUGCGUACGCGCAGACCCUCGGUCGCCCGGCCGGCUGCACGACGGUACUCCCACGGUAUCGGGCCGCAACCAAUCCAUUCUUGAAUGUGUGUGCGUCAGGCCCGCCGCAAGCUCGGUUAGUUCUUACCCGGUGGUCACGGACUCAGUGCCGUCCCCGGGCCUGACCAGCUGUUAGCAGGCGGUGUCCUCGGACUGGCCAAGCUUCGAAUUACCGGUCGGCGACGCUACUGCUUUGGGUACUCUCAGGACCCGUCUUGAAACACGGACCAAGGAGUCUAACAUGUGCGCGAGUCAUUGGGAUGCACAAACCUAAAGGCGAAAUGAAAGUGAAGGUCGUCCUUCGCGUCGACCGAGGGAGGAUGGGCCGCGUUACUAAGGCGGCCUCGCACUCCCGGGGCGUCUCGUUCUCAUCGCGAGAAGAGGCGCACCCAGAGCGUACACGUUGGA
rnacentral:rRNA from 1 species